UACGUAGGGCGCAAGCGUUGUCCGGAAUUAUUGGGCGUAAAGAGCUCGUAGGCGGCUUGUCGCGUCGAUUGUGAAAGCCCGGGGCUUAACUCCGGGUCUGCAGUCGAUACGGGCAGGCUAGAGUGUGGUAGGGGAGAUCGGAAUUCCUGGUGUAGCGGUGAAAUGCGCAGAUAUCAGGAGGAACACCGGUGGCGAAGGCGGAUCUCUGGGCCAUUACUGACGCUGAGGAGCGAAAGCGUGGGGAGCGAACAGG
rnacentral:rRNA from 1 species